rnacentral:rRNA from 1 species
GCGGGUCUUUGGGCCCACCUCCCAUCCGUGUCUAUUAUACCCUGUUGCUUCGGCGGGCCCGCCGCUUGUCGGCCGCCGGGGGGGCGCCUUUGCCCCCCGGGCCCGUGCCCGCCGGAGACCCCAACACGAACACUGUCUGAAAGCGUGCAGUCUGAGUUGAUUGAAUGCAAUCAGUUAAAACUUUCAACAAUGGAUCUCUUGGUUCCGGCAUCGAUGAAGAACGCAGCGAAAUGCGAUAACUAAUGUGAAUUGCAGAAUUCAGUGAAUCAUCGAGUCUUUGAACGCACAUUGCGCCCCCUGGUAUUCCGGGGGGCAUGCCUGUCCGAGCGUCAUUGCUGCCCUCAAGCCCGGCUUGUGUGUUGGGUCGCCGUCCCCCUCUCCGGGGGGACGGGCCCGAAAGGCAGCGGCGGCACCGCGUCCGAUCCUCGAGCGUAUGGGGCUUUGUCACAUGCUCUGUAGGAUUGGCCGGCGCCUGCCGACGUUUUCCAACCAUUUUUUCCAGGUUGACCUCGGAUCAGGUAGGGAUACCCGCUGAACUUAAGCAUAUCAAUAAGCGGAGGGAAAAGAA